rnacentral:rRNA from 1 species
UACGUAGGGUGCAAGCGUUGUCCGGAAUUAUUGGGCGUAAAGAGCUCGUAGGCGGCUUGUCACGUCGGAUGUGAAAAUCCAGGGCUCAACCCUGGACCUGCAUUCGAUACGGGCAGGCUAGAAUUCGGUAGGGGAGACUGGAAUUCCUGGUGUAGCGGUGAAAUGCGUAGAUAUCUGGAGGAAUACCGGUGGCGAAGGCGGCAUCCUGGACCGGCAUUGACGCUGAGGAGCGAAAGCUAGGGGAGCAAACGGG